UGUCUGGAAAGGCCAUAGGUGGGGAAC
rnacentral:piRNA from 1 species